GUUUUCAGCAGCAUCACUUGAGAGUUUUUCACAUUCUCCUUCUCCGCCUCUCCCCAAAUGUUCAGCCUGCUGUGUGCAAGCUGGGUGUUUACAGUUCAGGACUAUGGAGGAGGAGGAAAUAUUUUGCCUAUUGUUCAGUGACGUCAAUGGCUUCGCUCCCAGUCACUUGAGGGACGCUGGUGCUUAGCAAAUGUCAGUACACUGCUGCUACUGCAUGUGCCUUACAGCUUGCUUGCAGGAAUUUAAGGUCUCUCCUCCAAGAUAGAUCCAGUUGGUGGAUGAGGCAGGUGUGAAGGGCAAACAACGAUAGCCACUGAAAGCUCUUUCUGCUGCUUUUUGCGUGGGAAAGCACCAGUGCUCUGUGAGGAUGAUAGUCUGGAGUCUAAACAAGACAACCAAGUACCAGAUACUUCUGUUCAGGAUGUAUUCUGCCACUCUGUCCAAAACAAGAGGUUUACAUAUAGUCAAAGACAUCUCUGAAGGUAUAGGAACAGGCAUCACUGUGUCUCCUUCCCGGAAGUGUUUACCAAAUGCUUGGAUGUGCAGACCCAUACACGGUCCCUAG
rnacentral:lncRNA from 1 species